UCUUGUGUGAUACUGCAAGACGAAUAUUUCAAGUUGGAAAAAAAACUACCUCCACACAUCACGUCGAUUAGCACAGAUAAUCGACUCAUCCCUCAGCAAAGCUCCGAUGACAUUAAGGGCAGAAAAUUGCCUUUAUGUUUAAGCACUUAUUAAUUCUUCCAUACAAAUUUUUUAUUAUGUAAAGGUGUCGAAAUCGUCGCUGUAGCUGCGGAACUACUUUUCUGGGCGGAUACUCGCGUUAAUUGACGCUCCUGAUUUGUAUCCUUCCGCGUGUUAUGAGAAAGUUGAAGUUGCCGCCUUUUUCGACUCGACAAGAUUUGAAAAAAUACAGCCAAACAUCUGCUGAGCUGCAGAACUACCAUCAGCUGGAUACAAUAUGAGACACUAAAGAUAAUAUUUCACAAAAACCAAAUGGUCACCGUCUAUCAAACUGUCAAAAACUGUGGUAACUGUGUUUGGAUGGAAGAAAGCAAAAAUGAUACUAUCACAGGACUGGAAAAAGCACAUUAUAUGUCCUGGAACUGGCAAUUACAUCACCAGCUUGGGUUUAAUGAAGUAGUUGCAAAGAGUUGUAAACACCCAGAGGAGGGCAGUGUUUCUUAAAAUUUGCCAGGAUUCAGCACAGACAUGACCUUGAAGCCAGACCAGGAGUGAGUUGAUGAUGCAUUUGAGGUCUUCCAUUCAUUCACAGACAGUGUUGCACCGUUCUCUGGUUCCUGCAUAUAUAAAUCACUGUAAGAAAAAAGACUGACAGAAACUGUCACUGAGACAGGACCUUUUCAAAAGGAUUGCUGAUCAAGGACAAACAACGCUGAUCCAGGAAAAUGUCCUACUUGGCAACUUCACGGUCAAGUUAUUUAGCAGAGGAUGAAUCGUGAGCUUACAGGUGCGAUCAGCUUUAGAUAACACCUCUAUGCAUUACUUCCACCCCCCUCUUGCAAAGUGUCCCGUUUACUGCCGGUGCGCUGGAGGUGUUUAAGGAUUGCACCCUGCUGCCUCCGUGCUCCCGUGAGCUUCACACUUCAUUUGUACGGAAACCUCCCAGCGGCAGCAAAUACUUCACGAGUGCUGCCAGCAUAAAUCACCAGGACCGACAAGCCCGUCUGCAGCCUUCAGACAGCCGUGGGACACUAAGGGUCUCUAUUUUCAGAUGUCCCGCAGGUUUCACCCUGUUAAAGGCAUCGGGGCAUUGUCCUUGGCACACCUCCAGCCAAACUGGGACAGCUCUAUGCAGAUUUGAUUGCUUGUGAAGUGAUUUGGAGCAACCAGGGGCUUAACUGUAUGAGAAAUGACUGACCCUCUCAACACGCUGUGAAAGCAGAAGCCUCCUAUUUCACCC